rnacentral:rRNA from 1 species
UUUUCCUACGGGAGGCAGCAGUGAGGAAUAUUGGUCAAUGGCCGGGAGGCUGAACCAGCCAAGUCGCGUGAGGGAAGACGGCCCUACGGGUUGUAAACCUCUUUUGUCAGGGAGCAAGGUGCAGGUCGGGACCUGCUGUGAGAGUACCUGAAGAAAAAGCAUCGGCUAACUCCGUGCCAGCAGCCGCGGUAAUACGGAGGAUGCGAGCGUUAUCCGGAUUUAUUGGGUUUAAAGGGUGCGCAGGCGGGCUGUUAAGCCGGCGGUAAAAAUUCAGGGCUUAACC